GAUCAGAUACAGGCCAGGUAGGAGAAGCCGAUGCCUAGCCUAGGACAGGGCAGGUGGCUCAGCAAGUGUGAACACCUCUCAGUGUAAGAGCUGAGGUGAGAGAGGGGCAGAUGGGCUGUGGAGCUGGCCACACUGAAGGCAGCUGUGUGUUUUCAGGGCUCAGGACCAAAGGGAGGCUGAGCCAGGAAGGCACUCCUGGGCUUUUGGCUUGAGCAGGCUCGAAGUCAACAGAUGCAGUUGGGUCUGUGUCUAGCGAUUGGGAAGGUCCACAGCAGGACUCCAGCCCAUACCUGGGAAUCAGGACAAAGCCCAGCCUAGGGAAGAGCCCCGAGGAGCCAGGCUGGGUGUCAGGUGGGGCCCUUGUCCUGAAAGGAGAAGAGACUCCAAGGUGGAGCCCCAAGCACACCUGCCUCCGGCACAUUCACGUCUCUGGCCACUUCUCUCUUACGGCUCCCUGUGACAAUGAGAUAUGGACACCUGGGAGGCACCUGGGGCUAGUUUCUUCCUCAUACCUGCCCCGCUCAGAUGAGGCUCCUUCCAGGCUCUGCAUCUUGACUCAGUUACAACCUGAUCCUGAGCUGGGACCCGAGGAUGUCCUGCUCCUGGCUCCAAGCUCCUGGUGAGGAUGAACUUUGGUUUGACUCCACCUGCUCAAGUGCCUUCGGAAGUGUGCCCACCUUGCCAGCCUCGUCAGAAUGCAAUCUCAGGAUGACGAAAGAGUUCAGGAAAUGCCACCCCAAGUUUCGCCAUGUUGGUCAGGCUGGCCUCGAACUCCCGCCCUCAGGUGAUCCACCUGCCUCGGCCUCCUAAAGUGCUGGGAUUACAGGCAUGAGCCACUGCGCCCAACCUGAAUAAUCUAUUAGAGUCUUUAUCUCUAAGAAGGGAAAUACAUCUGAACUAAAGGAUGGAGUCUUACUCUUUCACCCAGGCUGGAGUGAAGUGGCGCGAUCUCGGCUCACUGCAACCUCCACCCCCCGGGUUCAAGCGAUUCUCCUGCCUCAGGCUCCCGAGUAGCUGGAAUUACAGGCACCCGCCACCAUGCCCAGCUAAUUUUUAUAUUUUUAGUAGAGACGGGGUUUUACCAUGUUGGCCAGGGUGGUUUUGAACUCCUGACCUCAGGUGAUCUGCCUGCCUCUGCCUCCCAAAGUGCUGGGAUUACAGGCAUGAGCCACCGCGCCCGGCCCAUAUGUAGAAUUCUUUGAGCAAACUUUUCACCUGCUAAACCUUUCCUGCUAUCGUCAUCAUCAUCAUCAUCUACCUCAGAGGGUUCCUGGGGACCUGAAACAAGGCAAGCUAUACAAACUGUUUGACACAGGCAUCACUAAAUAAUUACGGGGCAGAGUGAUGCGUGCUGGGAUAUAGAAUGGUGGGAGGUGCUGGGAGACUCACAGGAAAGAGAAAAGACUUCUGACUGGCUGGUUGGAAGAAGGAUGUGGAAGGCUUCCCAGAGGAAAUAGUGUUUUAGCUGACCUCAGAGGACAUGUGUGGAAGUUUCCCAGGUAGACAAGGGGGAUAUAGAAAGAUGAACUUGUGUGAAGACUCAGAUGUUAGAGAGCCUAAGCAUGUCGGGAACAUGGAGUGGUUUCAUGAGACUGCGUGUCUGGGUGAGGGCAAGGUGCGAGCCUGCACAGGACAUGGGGGCCGGAUGGCAAAAGUCUGGAAACGCCUUGCCUGAAGUUUUAAACUUGACCUGGCAGGUGAGGUCCUGUUAAUAUGGCAGAAUCACAAAGGGCACUUAAAAGAACAAAUUCUGUGGUCCUACCCAGCAACAUUCUAAGUCAGCAGGUCUCAGAUGGGACCCAGAAAUCUACAGUGUUUAUUUUUAUUUAUUUGGUUUUUUUUUUGGAGACAGAGUCUCACUCUUGUCACUCAGGCUGGCGUGCAGUGGCACAAUCUCGGCUCACUGAGCCUCAACUUCCCAAGGUUAAGUGAUCCUCUCACCUGAGCCUCCUGAGUAGCUGGGACCACAGGUUCGUGCCACCAUGCCAGGCUAAUUUUUUUGUAUUUUUAUUUUUUUAUUUAUUUUGAGACGGAGUCUCACUCUGUCGCCCAGGCUGGAGUGCAGUGACACGAUCUCAGCUCACUGCAACCACUGCCUCCUGGGUUCAAGCAAUUCUCCUGCCUUAGCCUCCCAAGUAGCUGGGAUUACAGGUGUGAGCUACCACGGCCAGCUAAUUUUUGUGUGUUUAGUAGAGAUGGGGUUUUGCCCCAGGCUGGUCUCGAACUCCCGGGCUCAAGCGACACUCAGGCCUCAACCUCCCAAAAUGCUGGGAUUAUAUGUGGGAGCCACCACACCUGGCCUAUGCUGUUUAUUUAUUUACUUUAUUUAUUUAUUUUAUUUAAUCUCAGCUCAUGCCUAAGGAAUCUAUAGUGUUUAAAGCUCCCCAGGGUCAGGCGUGGUGGUUCACACCUGUAAUCCCAGCACUUUGGGAGGCUGAGGCAGGCAGAUCACCUGGGAUCAGGAGUUCAAGACCAGCCUGGCUGACAUGGUGAAACCCCAUCUCUACUAAUAAUACAAAAAAAAGUUGGGCAUGGUGGCAUGCACCUGUAGUCCCAGCUACUAGGGAGGCUGAGGCACGAGAAUGGCUUGAACCUGGGAGGCGGAGGUUGCAGUGAACCAAGAUCACGCCACUGUACUCCAGCCUGGGCAACAGAGCCAGACAGAGACUCCAUCUCAAAAUAAAUAAGUAAAUAAAUAAAUAAAUAAAUAAAUAAAUAAAUAAAUAAAUGGCUCUCCAGGAAAUUUUUUUUAUUUUUUUUUGAGACGGAGUCUCGUUCUGUCACCCAGGCUGGAGUGCAGUGGCGCAAUCUCGGCUCACUGCAAGCUCCGCCUCCUGGGUCCACGCCAUUCUCCUGCCUCAGCCUCUCUGAGUAGCUGGGACUACAGGCACCCGCCACCACGCCCGGUUAAUUUUUUUUUUGUAUUUUUAGUAGAAACGGGGUUUCACUCUCCAGGAAAUUUUGAUGCCCACUGGGAUAUGGGAACUCCUGCCAUGGGGAGGAGGGCGUCUCUAAGAAGGAAUAGGCCCUAUUGAGAUGCCAGCCAUAGACCUCUAGGAGUUGACCAUCGAGUCUCAGAAGGUAAGGAGAGGGUGUAGGAGACCCCUGACUCUGACCUCCACCCUCUCAUUCCUCUCCAGGGGAGUCCCGCACUCUGAUGGCCACAUCUGGUGCCAGGUAGUUUCUCGUAAAGAUCUACACUCACAUUAGACAACCCACUAGUAGGUAUUUACCCAAGACACCUGAAAGCAUAUGUCUACCCAAAGACUCGUAAAUGAAUGCAACUCUAUAUGUAAUAGCCAAAAUUAGAAAUAAUCCAAACGUUCAUCAGCAGGUGAACGGAAAAACAAGUUGUGAUAUGUUCAUACAAUGAACUACUACUCAGCAAUAAAAAGAAAUGAGCUACAGAUACAGAUAAGGAAACUUUUGGAUGUGAUUAUGUUCAUGAUCUUGUUUGGGGCAAAGGUUUCAGGGAUGUAUACAUGUGUCAAAACAUAUCAAAUCGUAUAAUUUAAAUAUGUGCUGCUUAUUGUAUGUCAAUUAUAUCUCAAUAAAGCUAUUAUAAAAAUCUGAUGCCAGUUCUGUGCACUCACAGCCAGUGACAAUCCCAAGGCCACACUGAAUGAUUACUGUGCAUGAGGUACUGUGU